rnacentral:rRNA from 1 species
GAUGAACGCUGGCGGCGUGCUUAACACAUGCAAGUCGAACGAUGAAGCCCAGCUUGCUGGGUGGAUUAGUGGCGAACGGGUGAGUAACACGUGAGUAACCUGCCCUUGACUCUGGGAUAAGCCUGGGAAACUGGGUCUAAUACUGGAUAUGACUUCUCAUCGCAUGGUGGGGGGUGGAAAGAUUUAUUGGUCUUGGAUGGACUCGCGGCCUAUCAGCUUGUUGGUGAGGUAAUGGCUCACCAAGGCGACGACGGGUAGCCGGCCUGAGAGGGUGACCGGCCACACUGGGACUGAGACACGGCCCAGACUCCUACGGGAGGCAGCAGUGGGGAAUAUUGCACAAUGGGCGCAAGCCUGAUGCAGCGACGCCGCGUGAGGGAUGACGGCCUUCGGGUUGUAAACCUCUUUCAGUAGGGAAGAAGCGAGAGUGACGUUACCUGCAGAAGAAGCGCCGGCUAACUACGUG